GGCAUGCUGGCUUAGUGGUUAGCAUGGUUGCCUCACACCUCCGUUGUUGGGGGUUCGAUUCCCUCCUGUAUCU